rnacentral:rRNA from 1 species
GAUGAACGCUGGCGGCGUGCCUAAUACAUGCAAGUCGAGCGAUUGGGCGAACGGGUGAGUAACGCGUGAGUAACUGCCCCCCUCUCUGGGAUAACAGUUGGAAACGGCUGCUAAUACCGGAUAGUGGGGGAUGACUCGCGUCCUAUCAGCUUGUUGGUGGGGUAGUGGCCUACCAAGGCGACGACGGGUAGCCGGCCUGAGAGGGCGACCGGCCACAUUGGGCUGAGAUACGGCCCAAACUCCUACGGGAGGCAGCAGUGGGGAAUAUUGCACAAUGGGGGAAACCCUGAUGCAGCAACGCGCGUGCGGGAUGACGGCCUUCGGGUUGUAAACCGCUUUCAGCCAUGACGCGGUAGUGGCAGAAGAAGCACCGGCUAACUACGUGCCAGCAGCCGCGGUAAUUC